UACGAAGGGGGCUAGCGUUGUUCGGAAUUACUGGGCGUAAAGCGUAUGCAGGCGGAUCGUUAAGUCGGGGGUGAAAUCCCGAGGCUCAACCUCGGAACUGCCUUCGAUACUGGCGACCUUCGAGUCCGGGAGAGGUGAGUGGAACUCCGAGUGUAGAGGUGAAAUUCGUAGAUAUUCGGAAGAACACCAGUGGCGAAGGCGGCUCACUGGCCCGGUACUGACGCUGAGAUACGAAAGCGUGGGGAGCAAACAGG
rnacentral:rRNA from 1 species